rnacentral:rRNA from 1 species
CCUACGGGUGGCAGCAGUGGGGAAUAUUGGGCAAUGGGCGCAAGCCUGACCCAGCAACGCCGCGUGAAGGAAGAAGGCCUUCGGGUUGUAAACUUCUUUUCUCAGGGACGAAGAAAGUGACGGUACCUUAGGAAUAAGCCACGGCUAACUACGUGCCAGCAGCCGCGGUAAUACGUAGGUGGCAAGCGUUGUCCGGAUUUACUGGGUGUAAAGGGCGUGCAGCCGGAGAGACAAGUCAGAGGUGAAAUCCACGGGCUCAACCCGUGAACUGCAUUUGAAACUGUUUCCCUUGAGUGUCGGAGAGGUAAUCGGAAUUCCUUGUGAAGCGGUGAAAUGCGUAGAUAUAAGGAAGAACACCAGUGGCGAAGGCGGAUUACUGGACGAUAACUGACGGUGAGGCGCGAAAGCGUGGGGAGCAAACAGGAUUAGAUACCCGAGUAGUC